ensembl:ncRNA C16E9.12 ncRNA
CAAGUGCCUCUUUUUCUGGGGGGCUCAAUCUGUAUACAGCUCCUUAGCGUCGACACCAUUCUCGCCUAACCAACUUGUCAAUUCACCCUUAAUUACAAGUUUCACAUCCCCCCACCACUCUUCUUCCUUUUCUCACUGUUUCCCCUUG